UACGUAGGCAGCAAGCGUUGUUCGGAGUUACUGGGCGUAAAGGGUGCGUAGGCGGUCGGGUAAGUCUGAUGUGAAAUCUCACAGCUUAACUGUGAAACUGCAUUGGAUACUAUCCGGCUCGAGGAACGGAGGGGAGACUGGAAUACUUGGUGUAGCAGUGAAAUGCGUAGAUAUCAAGUGGAACACCAGUGGCGAAGGCGAGUCUCUGGACAUUUCCUGACGCUGAGGCACGAAAGCCAGGGGAGCAAACGGG
rnacentral:rRNA from 1 species